UUCUUAUCGAGAGCGGCGGAGGGACAGGCCCGAUGAAGCCCGGCAACCGAUUUAUAACUGCAUGACAGCUGUGUCAUUCUUUAUAGAUGUUAGGUGCUAAUUCCUACAAAAUGUGUGCAAGGCACAAUUUUGGCAGAUGAGAA
rnacentral:ncRNA from 2 species